rnacentral:rRNA from 1 species
AUUCCAGCUCCAAUAGCGUAUAUUAAAGUUGUUGCAGUUAAAAAGCUCGUAGUUGGAUUUCUGGUUGAAGCGACCGGUCGGGCGUUGAUUCGUCUGCACUGGAGUCGGUUUUGGCCAUCCUCUAGGAAAGUGCGUCUGGUAUUAAGUUGUCGGGCGUAUGAUCCUGGUCUUUUACUGUGAAAAAAUUAGAGUGUUUAAAGCAGGCCUUCGCCUUGAAUACAUUAGCAUGGAAUAAUAAGAUAGGACUUUGGUCUAUUUUGUUGGUUUGCAGACCGAAGUAAUGAUUAAUAGGGAUAGUUGGGGGUAUUUAUAUUCCGAUGUCAGAGGUGAAAUUCUUAGAUUUUCGGAAGAUAAACUUAUGCGAAAGCAUUUACCGAGGAUGUUUUCAUCA